rnacentral:rRNA from 1 species
CAUAUCAUUAAGCGGAGGAAAAGGAAACUAACAAGGGAUUCCCCUAGUAACUGCGAGUGAAGCGGGAAAAGCUCAAAUUUAAAAUCUGGCGGUCUUUGGCUGUCCGAGUUGUAAUCUAGAGAAGUGCUAUCCGCGCUGGACCGUGUACAAGUCUCCUGGAAUGGAGCGUCGUAGAGGGUGAGAAUCCCGUCUUUGACACGGACUGCCAGGGCUUUGUGAUGUGCUCUCAAAGAGUCGAGUUGUUUGGGAAUGCAGCUCAAAAUGGGUGGUAAAUUCCAUCUAAAGCUAAAUAUUGGCGAGAGACCGAUAGCGAACAAGUACCGUGAGGGAAAGAUGAAAAGAACUUUGGAAAGAGAGUUAAACAGUACGUGAAAUUGCUGAAAGGGAAACGCUUGAAGUCAGUCGCGUUGUCCAGGGAUCAUCCUUGCUUUUGCUUGGUGCACUUUCUGGUUGACGGGUCAGCAUCAAUUUUGACCAUUGGAAAAAGAUUAGGGGAAUGUGGCAUCUUUGGAUGUGUUAUAGCCCUUGGUUGCAUACAAUGGUUGGGAUUGAGGAACUCAGCACGCCGCAAGGCCGGGUUUUUAACCACGUACGUGCUUAGGAUGCUGGCAUAAUGGCUUUAAUCGACCCGUCUUGAAACACGGACCAAGGAGUCUAACAUGCCUGCGAGUGUUUGGGUGGAAAACCCGAGCGCGUAAUGAAAGUGAAAGUUGAGAUCCCUGUCGUNGGGAGCAUCGACGCCCGGACCAGACCUUUUGUGACGGUUCCGCGGUAGAGCAUGUAUGUUGGGACCCGAAAGAUGGUGAACUAUGCCUGAAUAGGGUGAAGCCAGAGGAAACUCUGGUGGAGGCUCGUAGCGAUUCUGACGUGCAAAUCGAUCGUCAAAUUUGGGUAUAGGGGCGAAAGACUAAUCGAACCAUCUAGUAGCUGGUUCCUGCC